AAAAAAGCAGGGGUCUGUUGCCUCAGUGAACGGACCUCUCGUAAACAUCAGGGACAUCAAUCUCAUUGUUAUUGGGUGAACCUCUGUUUGUUGUUUGUGACUGAAGGUUCAGUAAAUGAUGGAACAUUU